UCUUGUGGAUGUUGGAUGUUGUAACUAUUAUGUAUUCAGGUAUUGUUAUGUGUUGUAAAUAGGUUUGCGUGGUCAUGUGACAUACUGCACUCAUCCUUAAUACAAUGUCUUUUGUAAUUAAUUAUUAUUGUUAUGCAAAUUAUGAGUACUGUACAUUGUGUUUCUGUUCUGAAGGUGUUUGUAGUUUCUCUACCUGACCAAGCAUUCCUGGUUAGAAGGUAUACUACCCCAGAUAGUAAAUGUCAAAAUCUUCUCAAAACAAGACAUAAAGGAAGCCUACUGACGUGUACCUUAAUUCACCUUAUUCACAUUCACCUUAAUUCCAGUCUGUUAGCAACAAUGAUAAAGCCUUAUGGUCGGUUUUGAUGGACAAGGCUUCCUUUCAGAUUUUGUGAAUGGGGACAUUUUCAUGAACAAAUCUAACACAAGCACUAGAAGACUCAUCAGUCAUAUAAAUGUUGCUGAUGAUAUCACUGUGGCAGGUUCAGGCAAAAAACCAUGGUUCCAAGUUUAAACCCUGUCUGCAAGAGGUUUGUGAUAGGACUUAAUGAUCAUUGUACUAUUUAUGGUCAACUUAAUUCAUAACUGUUUUAAAAUAAAGUAUACAUGCUUGAAGAACAUACCAGUACCUUUACAUCACUUAGAAAACAGGAUAAAAAAUGCAAUUACAGUUAUACAAUAGCUACAUAGGAAUAGUAUAGAAUCACCUUCUUCCUUUGACUACUGUUAAAAUUAUACAAAAAAGAAAUAUAAUACAUAAAAAGGAUAUAAUGAUAUGCAUAUAAAAACCAUAGAUCACAAGGUCAUGAUUUAGACAUUUUAAGUUGUACAUUGAGAAGAAAAGUUCCGACAGCUCUAAUGGAGUAUCAGACAUUAGAUGGGGAAAAUACAGUCUUUUGGUUAUUUUGCUGGCCAAGGGAUUAAUUCCCUUGUUAACAAAUGACCACAAAAAAAUGCACUAAAUACAAUUUAUAGUCCUGUAGCAAAAUGUACAAUCCAAAUAUGCUGUAUCUUCAUCAGAAUUGGUUUUCAUAAUCGAAAACCUCAACAACAACAAAAAAACUAACUUAAGUGUUGAGCUUUAUCCAUAUUAAUACAAGGUAUUAAAUACAUUUUUAGCAUAUAAUAUAUAUUUACAUACAUUAUUCAAGGUAAGAAUUUUAUUCAUUAUCCAAAAAAAAAAUUCAAGAAAUAGGUAAAGAACAUUGUAAAAGAAAAAAAAACAACAACUGCAAGUGUAUCAGAUACUGAUACUGAGUACUUGUAGCAUAAAUGCAGCAUAAUUAAAAGUUAAAUAUCACACAGUAAUAACAACCUGAUCAAUAUUUAGUUAUUAUGUACAUACAAUUUGAUU
rnacentral:sRNA from 1 species